rnacentral:rRNA from 1 species
GAGUAGGGCGGGACACGUGGUAUCCUGUCUGAAUAUGGGGGGACCAUCCUCCAAGGCUAAAUACUCCUGACUGACCGAUAGUGAACCAGUACCGUGAGGGAAAGGCGAAAAGAACCCCGGCGAGGGGAGUGAAAAAGAACCUGAAACCGUGUACGUACAAGCAGUGGGAGCACGCUUAGGCGUGUGACUGCGUACCUUUUGUAUAAUGGGUCAGCGACUUAUAUUCUGUAGCAAGGUUAACCGAAUAGGGGAGCCGAAGGGAAACCGAGUCUUAACUGGGCGUUAAGUUGCAGGGUAUAGACCCGAAACCCGGUGAUCUAGCCAUGGGCAGGUUGAAGGUUGGGUAACACUAACUGGAGGACCGAACCGACUAAUGUUGAAAAAUUAGCGGAUGACUUGUGGCUGGGGGUGAAAGGCCAAUCAAACCGGGAGAUAGCUGGUUCUCCCCGAAAGCUAUUUAGGUAGCGCCUCGUGAAUUCAUCUCCGGGGGUAGAGCACUGUUUCGGCAAGGGGGUCAUCCCGACUUACCAACCCGAUGCAAACUGCGAAUACCGGAGAAUGUUAUCACGGGAGACACACGGCGGGUGCUAACGUCCGUCGUGAAGAGGGAAACAACCCAGACCGCCAGCUAAGGUCCCAAAGUCAUGGUUAAGUGGGAAACGAUGUGGGAAGGCCCAGACAGCCAGGAUGUUGGCUUAGAAGCAGCCAUCAUUUAAAGAAAGCGUAAUAGCUCACUGGUCGAGUCGGCCUGCGCGGAAGAUGUAACGGGGCUAAACCAUGCAC